rnacentral:rRNA from 1 species
GACAGAGGGUGCAAACGUUGCUCGGAAUCACUGGGCGUAAAGGGUGCGUAGGCGGGUUUUUAAGUCAGGGGUGAAAUCCUGGAGCUCAACUCCAGAACUGCCUUUGAUACUGAAGAUCUUGAGUUCGGGAGAGGUGAGUGGAACUGCGAGUGUAGAGGUGAAAUUCGUAGAUAUUCGCAAGAACACCAGUGGCGAAGGCGGCUCACUGGCCCGAUACUGACGCUGAGGCACGAAAGCGUGGGGAGCAAACAGG